rnacentral:misc_RNA from 1 species
CGUUCUCAUAUCAUUGAUUUCUUGGCCUCUUAACUCCAUAACUCACUUUGAAGUGUGUGUGUGUAUAUAUAUAUAUGUAUAGCAGUGCCCUAUUUUCUUGUCCAAGUGCUUAUCUUAAAUUUGUAUAUAAAGUCGACUCAUAUAAGAGUCUCAACUUCUCAAUAGAUUAAAUGAUCUACCUUAUUAAUGAUGGACAUUAUGUAUUAACAUAGAUUCUUGCUGUCUGAAAUAAGCUUAAACCUUUUUAUUAUUGACUGCAUUUUGGCAAUGAAUAAUUAAUUUGAUGAGAUCCUUGAAUUUUUAGGAGAAUUGCUGAAGUGAGGGAGAA